UAGUGGGUUAAUUAUUCCUGCUGAAGACACACUUGCAAAGACACCAGCUGAAGCCUGGUAACAGCCAGCCCUGCUUCCUGUAUAUUUACCAAAGAUCAGUGGGAACAAACCAGUAAAAAUUGAUAUCUGGGAAAUAAAUGGCAGGAGUGCCAGGUGCCCUGUGUGGCCACAGCACCCUCAGCUCCUCUCCCACAGGACCCCUAGGUCCCUUGCGAGGGCACACACCUGGCAGUUGCACAACGCUUCUGUCCACAGAAUGGUUGUGUCCAGCUCCGUGGGACCCGCCAGACAGUUUCCACAAGGGCAUGUCCUCACAAUGAGAUGCUGGACCAUCCCAGAGUUGUGGCUGCGUGAGAACAGGGGGAAAGGUGGCUUAUUUCCCGGGGGAGGGAGCUGUGGCUCACAUGAGCCCCCGUGCACACAUCCAGGGACGAGGGAGCAGGAGGGUGAGCAGGGACAUUCCCCUGCGGUCACCGAGCCCAGGACACCAGGAAGGGGACAGAGAUGGUGGUGGUGGUGGAGCUGGCCAAGAAGGCCUUGUAGUGAGAGGGGAGGAAGAGUGAAGAAGCACAAGAUUUUCAAAGGCAGAUCUGACCAUGCAGCAAUCACAAGCUGUGCAAACAACUCACCCUUUGGAGGUCAAGAGCAGAGUAUGACACCUGUGAGUAAAUAGUGGAUCCAGGACCUGGGAGGGCACCUCUUCCCUGCCAGCUGGUGACAGAGGAAUUAGUUUCCUGGUCCCUGGUCAAGAUGUUCUCAUCAAGAUAAAAUCAGAGGGGAAUGGCUCCUCCCAUCCUCACUGCCUGGACAGCCGGGGCUGCCACAGCCUUGAGGCACUGCUGGACCCUGGCUCUCAAACCACCUUGUCCUUUCCAGUAAUUACUAUUUUGCAAUGUGAAAACAAUAAAAGUCUUGGGUCUGUUAAGAGGUC